rnacentral:rRNA from 1 species
UAAACUAGGAUUAGAUACCCUAUUAUUUUAAACGUAAAUUUUUGCCAAGGUAGUAAUAGUUUUGUUCUUUAAACCUAAAGAAUUUGGCGGUGUUUUAGUCUUUUCAGAGGAACUUGCCCCAUUAUCGAUAGUCCUCGUUAUAUCUAACUUGUUUUAUUUAGUAUGUAUACCGCCGUUAUAAGCUUAUUUUUUAAGAAUUAUUUGCUUUGAAUUUAAUUUAUUUAUAUUUCAGGUCAAGGUGCAGCUUAUAAAUAAGAGGUGGUGAGUUACAAUAUUAUUUUAAUAUAUGAAUAUAAAUUUUAUAAUUUUAUUGAAAGUGGAUUUGUUAGUAAUUUUUAUUAUAGUUUAGAUUUGAUUUUGGCUCUAAAAUGAGUACACAUCG